rnacentral:rRNA from 1 species
UACGUAGGGCGCAAGCGUUGUCCGGAAUUAUUGGGCGUAAAGAGCUCGUAGGCGGCCUGUUGCGUCCGCUGUGAAAUCCCGGGGCUCAACCCCGGGCCUGCAGUGGAUACGGGCUGGCUAGAGGCAGGCAGGGGAGAACGGAAUUCCUGGUGUAGCGGUGGAAUGCGCAGAUAUCAGGAGGAACACCAAUAGCGAAGGCAGCUCGCUGGGACGUUACUGACACUGAGGCGCGAAAGCGUGGGGAGCGAACAGG